rnacentral:rRNA from 1 species
CCUACGGGCGGCAGCAGUGAGGAAUAUUGGUCAAUGGGCGCGAGCCUGAACCAGCCAAGCAGUGUGAAGGAUGAAUGUCCCACGCGUUGUAAACUUCUUUUAUAAAGGAACAAAGUCAGGCUCGUGAGCCUUUCCGUAUGUACUUUAUGAAUAAGCAUCGGCUAACUCCGUGCCAGCAGCCGCGGUAAUACGGAGGAUCCGAGCGUUAUCCGGAUUUAUUGGGUUUAAAGGGUGCGUAGGCGGAGCUUAAGGUCAGCUGUGAAAUAUCGGGGCUCAACCGCGGGGCGGCGGUUGAUACCGGAGCGAUAGUAUUCCGAUACUGUCGGAGGAAGGUGUGGUGUAGCGGUGAAAUGAAUAGAGAUAACACAGAAGAGCGAGUGCGAAGGCAUAUGAGGAAUCGGAGAUUGACGCUGAUGUACGAAAGCGUGGGUAUCGAACAGGAUGAGAGACACGGGUAGGA